rnacentral:lncRNA from 1 species
AGUCAGGGAGGUAUCUGAAACAUUGUAAUACAGAAGGAGCUUCAUCUGUUUAAGCUUCAGGAGAAAAUCUCUUCUUUGGAUAUAGGCUUUAAUUGUUGCAAUGCCUGCUCUUCUGAAUAUAAAAGGCCCUUUUGAGGACCAUGAGAUUAUUCUAAGGUUCUACAAGAAGAUAGAUCUUUCUUUUCUAUCUAUUCUCAAAGGACCCCUUGAAGACCAGGAAAGAGGUAUGCUGGCAAUGGUGGGAAGUAAGAGAGAAGAGAAGGAGGAAGAAAGAAAGGAGGAAAGAGAGAAGGAAUGAAAGCAUGAGAGACAGAGGAGAGAAACAUGCAGAGAUGAGAGAGGGAGACGGCCAUGUGCAGUUGGAGGC